rnacentral:lncRNA from 1 species
CCGCAGAGUCUAUAGAUUGGGACCGUUUCUGCAAAUAAACCUAAAUAAUCAACCACCGAGGUUUUCUCCGCAGAAUCCAUCCGUCAGUCACUACAUCAGUACAUUUAUUAGUUUUUUCAAUCUUUAUCAGCAGAACUGGGGUAAAGCAGUCAACUCGUCCUUACCCACAUGGAUUUGCAGUUUUGCUGAUCGAACAAAGAGAUACACACUCCAUCGAAUUAGUGUUCUUGAGUUUUGGAUUCUUGUUCACUGUAAUUUUUGCCCUGUUCUACGGUCGGAUCCCACAGCUAGAAAGCGGUAUACUAGUUCGAACAUACAGUAUAAAGGUGGCCCUAGAUGCCCUGGUCAAAAUUUGAUGUCGGACAGCUGUCAAGGUAUACUAGUAAUAUCGUAGGGUUUGAUUCUAUGUAAGAGAUGGUAUUUGUGGGAUGUCAAUGUACCUUGGUUUUUGGUUUUUAGUUUUUUUUGACAUCUGGGUUUGAAUAUAUUUCACGAAUACAGGAAGAUGAAAACUAAUAAAUCUGUUUUUUAUUGGUGUUUUAGAGUUUGGUGGUUAUGCUUGAAAUUUUAUUUUUUUUCAUUUUAUUAUUAUUAUUUUUACGAUUUUAGCUUCGAAGUUUUUAUGUGGUCAUUGAUUCCUUUGAAACUUCAAAAUUUUUGAUUACUAUUUUAGUAAAAGUUGGAG